rnacentral:rRNA from 1 species
GACGAACGCUGGCGGCGUGCUUAACACAUGCAAGUCGAACGAUGAAGCCUAGCUUGCUAGGUGGAUUAGUGGCGAACGGGUGAGUAAUACGUGAGUAACCUACCUUUAACUCUGGGAUAAGCCUGGGAAACUGGGUCUAAUACCGGAUACGACCAAUCUCCGCAUGGGGUGUUGGUGGAAAGCGUUAUGUAGUGGUUAUAGAUGGGCUCACGGCCUAUCAGCUUGUUGGUGAGGUAACGGCUCACCAAGGCGACGACGGGUAGCCGGCCUGAGAGGGUGACCGGCCACACUGGGACUGAGACACGGCCCAGACUCCUACGGGAGGCAGCAGUGGGGAAUAUUGCACAAUGGGCGCAAGCCUGAUGCAGCGACGCCGCGUGAGGGAUGACGGCCUUCGGGUUGUAAACCUCUGUUAGCAGGGAAGAAGAGAGAUUGACGGUACCUGCAGAGAAAGCGCCGGCUAACUACGUGCCAGCAGCCGCGGUAAUACGUAGGGCGCGAGCGUUGUCCGGAAUUAUUGGGCGUAAAGAGCUUGUAGGCGGUUUGUCGCGUCUGCUGUGAAGGCCGGGGCUUAACCCCGUGUAUUGCAGUGGGUACGGGCAGACUAGAGUGCAGUAGGGGAGACUGGAAUUCCUGGUGUAGCGGUGGAAUGCGCAGAUAUCAGGAGGAACACCGAUGGCGAAGGCAGGUCUCUGGGCUGUAACUGACGCUGAGAAGCGAAAGCAUGGGGAGCGAACAGGAUUAGAUACCCUGGUAGUCCAUGCCGUAAACGUUGGGCACUAGGUGUGGGGGACAUUCCACGUUUUCCGCGCCGUAGCUAACGCAUUAAGUGCCCCGCCUGGGGAGUACGGCCGCAAGGCUAAAACUCAAAGAAAUUGACGGGGGCCCGCACAAGCGGCGGAGCAUGCGGAUUAAUCCGAUGCAACGCGAAGAACCUUACCAAGGCUUGACAUAUACUGGACCGCAUCAGAGAUGGUGUUUCCCUUCGGGGCUGGUAUACAGGUGGUGCAUGGUUGUCGUCAGCUCGUGUCGUGAGAUGUUGGGUUAAGUCCCGCAACGAGCGCAACCCUCGUUCUAUGUUGCCAGCACGUUAUGGUGGGGACUCAUAGGAGACUGCCGGGGUCAACUCGGAGGAAGGUGGGGAUGACGUCAAAUCAUCAUGCCCCUUAUGUCUUGGGCUUCACGCAUGCUACAAUGGCCGGUACAGAGGGUUGCGAUACUGUGAGGUGGAGCUAAUCCCUAAAAGCCGGUCUCAGUUCGGAUUGGGGUCUGCAACUCGACCCCAUGAAGUCGGAGUCGCUAGUAAUCGCAGAUCAGCAACGCUGCGGUGAAUACGUUCCCGGGCCU